rnacentral:rRNA from 1 species
UAAGGAAUAUUGGUCAAUGGGGGCAACCCUGAACCAGCCAUGCCGCGUGCAGGACGACUGCCCUAUGGGUUGUAAACUGCUUUUGUUAGGGAAUAAACCCCGCUACGUGUAGCGGGCUGAAUGUACCUAAAGAAUAAGGAUCGGCUAACUCCGUGCCAGCAGCCGCGGUAAUACGGAGGAUCCGAGCGUUAUCCGGAUUGAUUGGGUUUAAAGGGUGCGUAGGCGGCACUUUAAGUCAGGGGUGAAAGACGGCAGCUCAACUGUCGCAGUGCCCUUGAUACUGAAGUGCUUGAAUGCGGUUGAAGACGGUGAAAUGAUACAAGUAGCGGUGAAAUGCAUAGAUAUGUCUCAGAACCCCGAUUGCGAAGGCAGCUGUCUAAGCCGUUAUUGACGCUGAUGCUCGAAAGCGUGGGGAUCGAACAGG